rnacentral:rRNA from 1 species
GUAGGUGGCAAGCGUUGUCCGGAAUUAUUGGGCGUAAAGCGCGCGCAGGGCGGUCCUUUAAGUCUGAUGUGAAAGCCCGCGGCUCAACCGUGGAGGGUCAUUGGAAACUGGGGGACUUGAGUACAGAAGAGGAAAGCGGAAUUCCAAGUGUAGCGGUGAAAUGCGUAGAGAUUUGGAGGAACACCAGUGGCGAAGGCGGCUUUCUGGUCUGUAACUGACGCUGAGGCGCGAAAGCGUGGGGAGCAAACAGGAUUAGAUACCCUGGUAGUCCACGCCGUAAACGAUGAGUGCUAAGUGUUAGGGGGGUUUCCGCCCCUUAGUGCUGCAGCUAACGCAUUAAGCACUCCGCCUGGGGAGUACGGCCGCAAGGCUG